rnacentral:tRNA from 1 species
AGAUUUGCUCUACUAGAGUAGUCGGUUUCGGCCCGAUCAAAUGGAAUCAAAGUCCCACAAAUCUU